rnacentral:rRNA from 1 species
AUGGACGUAUCUAAAGGCUUCCUUAGACGAGACAAAACUCUCCAAUUAGUAAGGCAAGAUUCAAGACCUCUAGCUAUGAAGCAUAGGCUAUCUUGCAAAGCUGAUGAUAUUGGUAGCAUUGAAGAAGUUAUAGAUAUACAAAGAGAUCUAGAAAGAUAUCAAAAAGAUACCCUGAGAAAAAUAAAGCCGCAACAAGUAUACCACAUGGGAAUGUUUGAAAGUAAGAGUGGUCUAUACAGAAUAUCUCGAGAAGUGGAAUUAAGCGUGUUAACACAUCCAGUAGAUUUAAGAAUUGUAAGCAAAAAUAUUGAAAAUGAAUUAAAAUAUUGUGGUUACAAAUAUAUUCAUCAAGGCAUGUAUAUCAUAGGAGUCAAAGGUAUGACAAGGAAGAAAUUAGGUGCGAAGGUUUUGAUAACUUUAUUAGACAGAAGAUGGGAAUCUGUAGAUAAAGCAGCAUUAGGAUUUUUGGAAGGAGACAUGAAUGAAAAUAGAUUAAUAACCUAUAUAGCUCCAGACCUAAUGAUGCCCGUAAAAGAAUUUAUUGAAAAAAUGAGUUUUGGUUUCCAAACUAAAGGUUAUGAAGAUUUUAAAGGAACAAAUUUGCUAGUAAGUAUAGAAUUUAUAGGAAGGCUCACUAAUAGAAGUAGCUCCAGAUAUAGAGUGAAUGUGAAUGAUGUAAUUGAUAGUAUGCAAUCAAAAGGUAUUAAAUUUAUGAAUCCUCUUAAAAUUGGCUCUGAAGAAAGAGCAGGAGAAGAAUGGAAGAUAGGAGAAUUAAUAGAGAAAAAAGAAUUAAAGCAACCUGCAAACUACAUAAGCUAUCAAAAUUGUGAAGGAAGUAGCAGUAUUCGAUUUAUGAACUAUAAAGCUGCAUCAAUAGAAGACUCUGAAUCAUUUAUGUCAGAAUCGGAAAGUAAUGAUGAUAAGAAUAAAGGUAUAUCUGAAUGUAUGGAAAAGGCUAAUUUAGAUGAUGAAAUAAUUCAUUGGGAAAAGAAGCUAAAGCAUAUUGAAUGGGAAUAUAGUCAUUCUAUGACAAAGGAUUGGCCAAAAAUUAGAGAAAGAGAACUAUUUAUCAUCAGAGAAAUUGCAAGGUUAAAGAAACUAAAAAACCAUAAAAUGUCUGCCACUAGUAGUUCCAGCAUGGAAGAUAAAAUUAUAGCAUCCGCAGAAAGAAAAGCAAAUGCUAUUAUUAAUAAAAAUUCUAUCAAUAAUAAUAAUAAUAAUAAUAAUAAAGAUAAGAAUAUUAUUCAAAAAGAAGAAAUUGUUAGUGAAGAAGAGCAAUGGGAUAUCAAUAAUAAGUUAUUAUUAGAAAGUUAUGAGGAAGAGGAAGAAUUAAUAAAAGAAAUGUGGUUAGAAGAUGAAAGAUAUGAUGAUUCAGAACAAAAUAGUGAUUUCUAUAACUCACUAGAUGAUGUGGGACUACAUAAUUUAGAGAAUGCAAUGGAAGCCAUGGAAGUAGAAAGUAGUGGUAAAAGAAGAAGGGGAUAUGGUGAAUCAUCUGUAAAAAGAGAAGGAGAAAGAGAGAGAGCUACCAGGACAGCUGGACAAUGGCCUCCAGAAAAAGAUGAUUACCAGCCUACAUAUAUCCCAGGACAAUAUAGAUACAUGGGUACUAAAAGAAGAGAUUUUGAAAAACCAGUGCAAUUCCAAAAUUAUAAAAAUGAUGGUGCUAUAUUAAACCUAGCAGCUCAUGACCCAAUAGAUUGGCCGAAUAUAAUCAGCAUAUGGAAAGGUUUAAUAGUACAAAAAUAUAUACAAAAUCAGUAUAGCAUAGGCACUAAGGUAGAAGAUAUGUUAACAUAUCUUGAAACAUUUUUAGGAGAAUCUGUAAAAGUUCUUUGGGAACAAUGGGUAGAAUCAUACCCUAGUCAAUAUGAAGAAUUAAAAAGGGCAGGAAGUAACCCUAAUAACUUUGCGAAUGUUAUCUCAAAUAUGAUCAUAGCAGAAGAUCCUGAAUUAGGACAUACCUCAUUGCAAAAUGAAAGGUUAAGAGAAAUAGAAAAAUUAACAUUAACUAGCUGGAAAGGUAUUAAAGAGUUUUCCCAGCAUUAUUUGUAUAAUGCUACUACUGCUAAACAAGGUUUUAAUGUAGGCGUAGUAGAAAGAUAUUUUAAUAAGUUGCCUGAUCCCCUAGGGUCAAUAAUAUUUGAAGAAUAUAAAAAGGAAACGGCGGGAAACGUGGUAAACAUAUCUCAAGCUGUAACAUUUGUUUUCAAACAAUUAAGAAAGGUGUGUACUAGUAUUCAAGCCCAAAGAUCUAUGAAGAAAUCAGAUUAUAAUUUUUGCAAUAACAUAGUCCAAAUACCACUUACAUAUGGAGAAGAAAGGCAUAGGAAAAACAAAUAUUAUAAACCACAAAGGAGAGAUAAUAGAAAUUUUAGAACAAAGAAAAGAUUUUUACAACAAUCUUUACAAACCACAAUCAUACAUGAAGAGGGGGUAACAUUUAUUCCUUAUCAAGAUAAUGUUCCAUACAUAUCUGAAGUGCGAAAACAAAGAAAGUCCUUGCAAAAUGUAGAAAUAUCUAAUUUAGAUGAUGAAUAUAGCACAAGUCCAGAUCCCCUUGAAUUCUGUAAAGACGAAGAACUUAGUGAGACCAUAGAAGAAUAUCAUAUAGAAAAUACAUGUACUGAAUGCAUUGGGUUGCAAUCAUUCUCUCCAAAUUGGUAUAGAGAUAUAAAAUCCAAAAAGGAUAUAGAUAAGAUUGUGCAAAGACUAGAAAGUAUACAAAUUAUUGGAGAAAUACCAAUGAAACAUUGGGAUAAGAACUCUAUAGUUUGCAAAAUAAAUAUCAUAAAUCCAGAUUAUAUAAUUAAGUCAGGACCAAUAGAAGCAACUCCUAAAGAUAUCGAAGAGUUCAAAAUGCAUAUUGAAGAGUUAUUAAAGUUAAAAGAUAUAAGAGAAAGCAGAAGCCCUCGUCGAUCUGCUGCUUUUAUAGUUAGAAAUCAUGCUGAAGAAGUUAGAGGCCUAAAGAAUGCACCUGCACUAUUUCAAAGAAAGAUGCAAAAUAUAUUUAAUGAGAAUCAAGCAUUUAUAUUAGUAUACGUAGAUGAUUUGUUAGUAUUCUCAAAAUCAUACAAAGAGCAUAUAGCCCAUCUUGAAGUGUUCUUUCGAAAGGUGGAACAAAAUGGGCUCAUACUAUCUAAAAAGAAGAUGGAGAUUUGCAAAGAGAAAAUAAAUUUCCUUGGUCAUGAAAUAGGAGAAGGAAAAAUAUAUCUACAAGAACAUAUUGCAAAGAAAAUAUUAGAGUUUCCUGAUAAUAUGAGUGAUAAAAAGGUUUUACAACAGUUGUUAGGAAUUGUAAACUAUGCGCGAAACUAUAUAGAUAACUUAGCAAAGCUAGCAGGACCUUUAUAUGCUAAAUUAAGAAAAAAUGGUCAAAGAUACUUCAAUUCUGAAGAUAUAAAAUUAGUAAAGGCCAUCAAGGAAAAGGUCAGGAAUUUAAAACCCCUAGAAUUGCCUCUAGAAGACAAUUAUUUUAUAUCGAGACAGAUGCAUCUAAGGUAG